UCUUUUGUUUUUCCUCUCUUUUACUUUGAUGAUUGUUAUGUUAUGAAACUUUUCUUGUAUAAAGCUCAAUUUCUCUAUGACCACGGAAGUAAACAUCCUGAUGCAUUCUUGUCAUGUGAAUGUUGAGAGCGUGUUCAUUUUUGAAAUUUUGAAAUCUCCUUUCUGACAUAUAUAUUCUACAGGAUCAGCUGAGAUGUUAUUUCACUGGAUUAUUUAAUGGAUAGGCUUAUUGGGCAUAUAUUUGGAUAUCUCUGUCAUCAACAUGGAAUGUAUGACUUCAUCUUUAUACAGUCGGGUCCGGGUUCGGCGGCCAUGGCGAAUCUCGGCAAGAUUUUACCCCAGUGAAAAAAGACUUGUAAUCCACCGUUCCUCAACCUGGAAGAUAUGUUUUGUUCCUAACCAUCUAUAAUCCAUUCUCUAUGAAGUGAAGCCUGGCUGCUGGUCUUCCUUUGGAAAUACACAGUUUGUCAAUCAACAUAGAAACACACAAACUUGAAGGGAAAGAAUACUUUAAUGUGGCUCAUCAGGAUGACCAGAAAAGAAAUCUUAAUGGCCCUCUUGACUAUGUAUAAAGACUGUAACCUUAUAACUGAUGAUUCUCUUGUGAGGGCUUAUGGAAAUGAUCUAUGUCUACUCUUAGAAUGGUGAAAGACUAUCAGAUUAUGCAAAGAUUAACAGAAUAUCCUCUCUUGGAACACUGAAACAAGAAAACCGAACUUAAGAGGAUGGAGGAUUUAAGAAGCACAUAGAUAAAUAUGAUUUCCAGCGAAU